rnacentral:rRNA from 1 species
AUGGCCAAAUACUGGUGGAGCAGUAACCUUGAUCACCGGUCUUUACACUGGCUGUCUUGGAAAAUGCUAGCUGCACCUAAAAUUAAAGGAGGAAUGGGGUUCAAAGACUUGCAACUAUUCAACCUUGCACUACUCGGCAAUCACGGGUGGCGCUUGAUGACGAACCCAAAUUCUUUGUGCUCGCGGGUCCUAAAAGGAAGAUAUUUCCAUUCUUGUGAUUUCAUGCAAGCUACUGCACCCAAAUUUUCCUUAGCUGUUUGGCGGGCUAUUAUUGCAGGAAGGGAAGCGUUGAGAACCGGCCUGCUAAACCGCAUUGGAAGCGGUACGUCCGUUUCUAUCUGGGAGGACAAACGGAUUCCUGACACCAGAUCUAUGACCCUAGUGUGA